UCAAAAUAUUUAAUUAUUAAUUAAUUAUUUAAUUAAAAUUAAUCAAUCUAUUUACUUUUAAUCGAAUUUUCGAUUAGGAUUGGCGCGAAAUUGUAUGAGAGUAAAAGAAGGGAGAAAGAAACGGAUAGGAUAUAGAGAUCGAAUUUGAUGGUGGCACGUAGAAAGAGGAAUAGAGAUAGAUAGAAAGAUAGAGAUAGAGAUAGAGUGUGGCGACGCUUGCGUCUCGACGCCUUUCGAGGCCAUUUCGAUCCUCGACGGCGUCAUCGUCGUCGUCCUCGUCGGUUUUCUCGGCACAGCACGUCGACCGCCGAUGGCUUGUAGUCUCCUCCUCCUCCUCCCCCUCCCCCUCCCCUUCCUCCCUCUCCUUCUCUGAUACGUGUCUGUGUAUUAAAUACAUAUGUAUAUACAUAUAUAUAUAUAUGUAUUUAUAUAUAAGCGUGUAUACUAACCUCGACGAAGGACACAAAUUACUCACUGGACAAGUACUACUAUCUAUUUAAUAGCUAUAACGUAACAGUAUCAGUAGAGAAGGUCGGUUGGAGUCAGACGUGAUUCGAGAUCCAGUGAAAACCAUGAAAGAACUUCAAUUUUAUUCGUUGAAGAAGAAGAGGAAGAAGAAGAAGAAGAAGAAGAUGGAACGCGAUAAAGAGAAAUACUUUUUCCUUAUUAGUUUCAUCGAUAUGUCCUCAAGCUAAGCUAAGCUGAGAACAACAACGUUUAUUUUGGCCGUAAAUAUUUGUCGUUCCGCUCGAGCAAGCGAGACAGCCGAGAUGUAUCAUUGGGAUCGUCGAGGGUCCGAAGGUCGACAUAUCGAUUUGCUUGAAAUUUGAAGUACGAGGGUUUAACCCUUGCGGCGGGCCUGUGAUCGAGUGUAUACACGAUGAAUGGGAUAUGGUAGAAAGGU
rnacentral:lncRNA from 1 species